ACUUUAACAUGGGAAUGCUUUCU
rnacentral:miRNA from 1 species